AAGUGGUGAAUAGAAUCACAUCAUCUUUUCGAGAUGGGAGAGCUUUUACAGCCUUAGAUU
rnacentral:tRNA from 1 species